AUCGAACGCUGGCGGCAGGCCUAACACAUGCAAGUCGAACGAGUGGCGGACGGGUGAGUAAUGUCUGGGAAACUGCCCGAUGGAGGGGGAUAACUACUGGAAACGGUAGCUAAUACCGCAUACCAUCGGAUGUGCCCAGAUGGGAUUAGCUAGAAGGUUGGGUAACGGCUCACCUAGGCGACGAUCCCUAGCUGGUCUGAGAGGAUGACCAGCCACCCUGGAACUGAGACACGGUCCAGACUCCUACGGGAGGCAGCAGUGGGGAAUAUUGCACAAUGGGCGCACGCCUGAUGCAGCCAUGCCGCUUGUAUGAAGAAGGCCUUCGGGUUGUAAAGUACAUUCAGCGAGGAGGCUUUGCUCGCAGAAGAAACCCCGGCUAACUCCGUGCCAGCAGCCGCGGUAAUAC
rnacentral:rRNA from 1 species